UCAAGCAAGUAAGAGCACAAGGGGAAUGCCUUGGCACCGGAAGCCGAUGAAGGACGUGAUAAGCUGCGAAAAGCUGCGGGGAAUCGCAAAUAGGUAUCGAGCCGCAGAUGUCCGAAUGGGGAAACCCGGCUGAGAAAAGCUCAGUCAUCCAUAACUGAAUUCAUAGGUUAUGGAAGGGAAACGCUGUGAACUGAAACAUCUAAGUAGCAGCAGGAAGAGAAAGAAAAAUCGAUUUUCUGAGUAGCGGCGAGCGAAAAGGAAAUAGGCCAAACCGAGAGACCUAGUCUUUCGGGGUUGCGGACUGCAUACCGUAUUGACAAUUGAUAGCUGAACUGUUUUGGGAAAGCAGACCAGAGAGCGUGAAAGUCGUGUAAGCGAAAUCGAGAGUCAGCGAGCAGGAUCCAGAGUACCACGGGACACGAGAAACCCUGUGGGAAGCCGGGGGGACCACCCCCCAAGCCUAAAUACUAACCGGUGACCGAUAGUGGAGUAGUACUGUGAAGGAAAGGUGAAAAGGACCCCGGGAGGGGAGUGAAAGAGAACCUGAAACCUUGUGCUUACAAACAGUGGGAGGCGUAUAGUUCCGUAAGGAAUUGUUGCUGACUGCGUACUUUUUGUAGAACGGUCCGGCGAGUUACUAAUAUUAGCGAGGUUAAAUACUAAGAAGGUAUGGAGCCGAAGGGAAACCAAGUCUGAAUAGGGCGUGAAGUUAGUAUUAGUAGACCCGAAACCGGGUGACCUAUCCAUGUCCAGGUUGAAGUUACCGUAAAAGGUAAUGGAGGACCGAACGCACAUCUGUUGAAAAAGGUGGCGAUGAGGUGUGGAUAGCGGAGAAAUUCCAAUCGAACUCGGAGAUAGCUGGUUCUCCUCGAAAUAGCUUUAGGGCUAGCCUCGAGAGGAGUCUAACGGAGGUAAAGCACUGAACUGACGCGGGGCCCAAAAAGGUUACCAACUCAUAUCAAACUAAGAAUGCCGUCGAGAUACCCUCGGGAGUCAGACUACGGGAGAUAAGUUUCGUUGUCAAAAGGGAAAGAGCCCAGACCGACAGCUAAGGUCCCAAAGUGUGUGUUAAGUGGGAAAGGAUGUGGGAUUUCAAAGACAACUAGGAUGUUGGCUUAGAAGCAGCCAUACAUUUAAAGAGUGCGUAAUAGCUCACUAGUCGAGAGAACCUGCGCCGAAAAUAAUCGGGGCUAAAACACACCACCGAAGCUACGGAUUUCCUACAAGGUAGGAAGUGGUAGAGGAGCAUACUGCAAGGACGAAGCCAAAUCGAGAGAGAUGGUGGACGAAGCAGUAGAGAGAAUGCCGGAAUGAGUAGCGAGAUAUAUGUGAGAACCAUAUAGGCCGAAUAUCUAAGGUUUCCUGGGUGAAGCUAAUCUACCCAGGGUAAGUCGGGACCUAAGGCGAGGACGAGAGUCGUAGUCGAUGGACAACUGGUAGAGAUUCCAGUACUAUGUAUGAUCAGAACUGUGGGGACGCAGGAGGAUAGAUGGACCGCGGAAAGGGAAGACGCGGCCAAGCACAAAGGCGAGGUCAGUAGGCAAAUCCGCUGAUUGAUGUUGAAGUGUGACGGGGACUGAAAGAAAGUAAGGAAGUCAUUGAAUCCACACUGCCGAGAAAAGCCGCUAUUGUGUCAUACAUACCCGUACCGCAAACCGACACAGGUAGAUGAGGAGAAAAUCCACAGGCCGACGGGAGAAGUGUUGUUAAGGAACUCGGCAAAAUGACCCCGUAACUUAGGGAGAAGGGGAGCCACGAGAAGUGGUCACAGAGAAGAGGCUCAAGCAACUGUUUAGCAAAAACACAGGUCUCUGCGAAACCGAAAGGUGAAGUAUAGGGGCUGACACCUGCCCGGUGCUGGAAGGUUAAAAGGAGAGGUUCGGAGAAAUCCAAAGCUUUGAAUUCAAGCCCCAGUAAACGGCGGCCGUAACUAUAACGGUCCUAAGGUAGCGAAAUUCCUUGUCAGGUAAGUUCUGACCCGCACGAAAGGUGUAAUGAUUUGAGCACUGUCUCGACAACACGCCCGGUGAAAUUGAAGAACCGGUGAAGAUACCGGUUACCCGCAACAGGACGGAAAGACCCCAUGGAGCUUUACUGCAGCCUGAUACUGGGAUUCGAUGAUGUAUGUACAGGAUAGGAGGGAGACUGUGAAGGGAGUACGCCAGUAUUCCUGGAGUCGACGGUGGGAUACCUCUCUUACAUCAUUGGGUUUCUAACCUGCAUCCGUAAUCCGGAUGAGGGACAAUGUCAGGCGGGCAGUUUGACUGGGGCGGUCGCCUCCAAAAGAGUAACGGAGGCGCUCGAAGGUCUUCUCAGAAUGAUUGGAAACCAUUCAAAGAGUGUAAAGGCAAAAGAAGGCUUGACUGCGAGGCCGACGGGCCGAGCAGGUACGAAAGUAGGACUUAGUGAUCCGGUGGUAAUACGUGGGAAUGCCAUCGCUCAACGGAUAAAAGCUACCCUGGGGAUAACAGGCUGAUCUCCCCCAAGAGUUCACAUCGACGGGGAGGUUUGGCACCUCGAUGUCGGCUCAUCGCAUCCUGGGGCUGAAGUAGGUCCCAAGGGUUGGGCUGUUCGCCCAUUAAAGCGGUACGCGAGCUGGGUUCAGAACGUCGUGAGACAGUUCGGUCCCUAUCCGUUGUGGGCGUAGGAAAUUUGAGAGGAGCUGUCCUUAGUACGAGAGGACCGGGAUGGACGAACCGCUGGUGUAUCUGUUGCAUACCAAAUGCACGGCAGAGUAGCUAUGUUCGGAACGGAUAAACGCUGAAGGCAUCUAAGCGUGAAGCCGCCCUCAAGACGAGAUUUCCCAUUCGAAAGAAGUAAGACCCCUUGAAGACUACGAGGUAGAUAGGUCAGAGGUGUAAGUACAGUAAUGUAUUUAGCUUACUGAUACUAAUAGGUCGAGGGCUUGACCGA
rnacentral:rRNA from 1 species